rnacentral:rRNA from 1 species
AGGACGAACGCUGGCGGCGUGCUUAACACAUGCAAGUGGAGCGACGAACCGGGGCUUGCCCCGGGGCAGAGCCGCGAACGGGUGAGUAACACGUGGGUAACCCACCUCGAUGACCGGGACAACCCGAGGAAACUCGGGCUAAAUACCGGAUGUGAUCCUCUUCUGUAAGGAAGUUGAUGAAAGAUAGCUUCGGCUUUCGCAUCGAGACGGGCCCGCGGCCCAUUAGCUUGUUGGUGGGGUAAAGGCCUACCAAGGCAUCGAUGGGUAGCUGGUCUGAGAGGACGAUCAGCCACACUGGGACUGAGACACGGCCCAGACUCCUACGGGAGGCAGCAGUAGGGAAUCUUGGACAAUGGGCGAAAGCCUGAUCCAGCCAUGCCGCGUGAGUGAAGAAGGCCUUAGGGUUGUAAAGCUCUUUUGGCGGGACGAUAAUGACGGUACCCGCAGAAUAACGCCCGGCUAACUUCGUGCCAGCAGCCGC